AACGCAUCUUGCGCCCCGUGGCAUUCCGCGGGGCAUGUCUGUUUGAGUGUCGUUUGACCUCUCAACCGCUUUGGUAUUCGAUUACAAAAGUCGGCUUGGAACUUGGGUGCCUCUGGCGAAACGCAAAGGGCCUCGGCCCUGUCGCCCACCCCAAAGUCAGUUGGGCCAACCGCGCGGAUGAGCGGACGGUUUGACCACAGUGUUGAAAGGUUCGCCUCACUGUCGGGACGUCCAUUUCCGUCGCUUACAAGGCAUUUGAAAUACGAUACUAUUGAUUUCGACCUCAAAUCAGACAGGAUUACCUGCUGAACUUAA
rnacentral:misc_RNA from 1 species